CACCUGGCAUUUCCUGUUCUCUCGGGAAGCAAAGAGGUCUAUGUGGGGAAAACCCCACUUCCGGAAAACAGUAUGGAUGACGUCUGGACGAAUCGACCACUCCUGAGACAGGAAGGAUCUGCUGAGGUGAUCCGCCAAAGUGUUCUGAACCCCUGGGGGAA